rnacentral:rRNA from 1 species
GCCCUUACGACCAGGGCUACACACGUGCUACAAUGGCAUAUACAAAGAGAAGCGACCUCGCGAGAGCAAGCGGACCUCAUAAAGUAUGUCGUAGUCCGGAUUGGAGUCUGCAACUCGACUCCAUGAAGUCGGAAUCGCUAGUAAUCGUAGAUCAGAAUGCUACGGUGAAUACGUUCCCGGGCCUUGUACACACCGCCCGUCACACCAUGGGAGUGGGUUGCAAAAGAAGUAGGUAGCUUAACCUUCGGGAGGGCGCUUACCACUUU